GACGAACGCUGGCGGCGUGCCUAAUACAUGCAAGUCGAGCGAAGUUUUUCUGGUGCUUGCACCGGAAAAACUUAGCGGCGAACGGGUGAGUAACACGUAAAGAACCUGCCUCAUAGACUGGGACAACUAUUGGAAACGAUAGCUAAUACCGGAUAACAGCAUUAACUGCAUGGUUGAUGUUUAAAAGUUGGUUUUGCUAACACUAUGAGAUGGCUUUGCGGUGCAUUAGCUAGUUGGUGGGGUAAAGGCCUACCAAGGCGACGAUGCAUAGCCGACCUGAGAGAGUGAUCGGCCACACUGGGACUGAGACACGGCCCAGACUCCUACGGGAGGGAGCAGUAGGGAAUCUUCCGCAAUGGGCGAAAGCCUGACGGAGCAACGCCGCGUGAGUGAAGAAGGAUUUCGGUUCGUAAAGCUCUGUUGUUAGGGAAGAAUGAUUGUGUAGUAACGAUACACAGUAGAGACGGUACCUAACCAGAAAGCCACGGCUAACUACGUG
rnacentral:rRNA from 1 species